CUUGAAUCUAGACUUUUAUUCACUCCACAAUCUUGUGACACGCGCCUUGCUUCUUACGCCUCUGUUGCAAAGAAAGCAUUUUCUGUCGAUAUGACUCGGCUCUGCCUGCUGGUCUUCUCCGUUUGCCUGUAUGUGGCCUCUUUCACCUGCACUGUAGGCGCUAUUGCAUGCCCUCAAAACGAGACUGAUGAAAAUUCCAGCCGUGGAGAACCGCUGAAAGGGAUUAGUGAUGAUAUCCUUGCAAAAUUGAACUCGGAUAAGGACUUGGAAAGGUUUUUCCGUGACGUCAUUGACACAAACUUAUUUACAUUGAGAAUAGAUUCAAGCCAAGAAGAAUGGGCUAAACUCUUUAAUAAAGAAUUAAAGCCCUAUCCUGAACUGUUAAACAGAUUGAAAAAUUUAGCCAAAAUAUUGAGCUCAGACCCAACUUUCGUUGAGUUCUGGGCAAUUGUUAGCAGAGCACAUAGAUCAACCAGCCCGCCCACUUCGGAACCUGAAUUACAUGUAAUUCUAGAAAAAAAACUGCGCUCCAAUCCAGCCUUGUUGCGGAAGUUGAUGGCUAUUGUAAGCAAAGCGAUGGCUACUGAUCCCGAUUUGAAAAAGGCGUGGGAGAAUGCCGGGGUAAAAGGUUUAAAUGUAAACUCCAGUGUGGAAGAAUGGGGCAAGUUUUUGACCGACGCAACGAAAUCUAAUCAAGCCCUGAAAGCAAAACUGCAUGAAUUUUCCGAAAAUACGCUGCGUUCUAUACAAUCCAUAUUAAUGGCAUAUGCCGCCUUUGGUGACGCUCACAAGACAAACGGAGCUAUAUAACCAGCCGACCCAUCUUUAUCGCAUCUUUUAUGGGGGCAUACUGCUGCCACAGUAUUGUAAUAUUAAGAUAUCUAUUUCUUGUGAAUGUGCAUACAUUUUUUAUAAAAAAAAAAAAACACACAUGAGUUCAGCUUCAAACAGGUUUUUGUCCCCUUUCAAGUACCGUAUAAAAUACUAGGAUAGUUAAAUAAAUUCUAGAUGACAGGAUAUUUUUAAAUUUAAAAAAAAACUAAGAACCUGAUUUAUUUGGGAUAAAAUAUUUUUGUUUCAUUUUUAGCUUAUAGGACUAUGAAAUUGUGACGAUCGACUAUUUUUUAACCUUCAGAUCAUUUUUUGACCAUCAAAUGAGCACGAAUCAUGCAAUUUGAAGCCGUUUGAACCAAAUUUCCCAAAAUUCAAAUCGUCACAUAAAUUGUAAAUUUUUUGGAGUUUGAAUUAUUGAAAUAAAAUAUCCCUUGAUAUAUAUUAUUGAAUGCGUUAAUGCACGGAAAUCUAUCAAUCACUGUUCCAUAAAAUAAAAUGAUAAAUUAAGUAAAUUAGAAAAUUAGAAAAUUAGUAAACAAACAUUCGCGCACUUUUAGAUAAUACUGUAUUAAAUAAAUAAGAGACAUCUUUUGUUAGCCAUCAUGGCCCUCGUAUCAUAAACUCUCCCGCAAAUUCAAUCUAUCGCCAGACAAACGAUUUGUAACUGGACUGCGCGAUUGAUUUAAUCCAUCAUAUUUAUUGUAUCAUUAAGUCAAUUUUGUGUGCACGUCAAAGGUUAAAUAAAUAUUUUUAUUUCUUAACCUUGCUUGAUUGUUUAUAAAAAUCCUCUGCCUUGAAGAAGUCGCAGGUGUAACGGUAGGUUUACCCUGACGAAAGUUAUCAAUCAAUAAUAAUGUUAACAUAAUAUUGAAUGUGCCGAUUAGGGGGCGUUAAUGGUGCGAAAGAGGGUAUAGAAGAUAGUUUACAGUCAAGCAGAGCUGACUGUAUAGAAGUGGCAAGAUUCGAAGACUGGCCAGCGGCGCAAGCAGUCGAGCCCUCUUUCUCUCUCCCCUCUCGCAAACCCUGAGCAGCCUACGUGCAGCAGAAAGACACAAAAAUAUUAAGCAUUUUCUGUCGAUAUGACUCGGCUCUGCCUCCUCGUCUUCUCCGUUUGCCUGUAUGCGGCCUCUUUCACCUGCGCUGAAGGCGCUGCUGCACCCUUUCAAAACGAGAAUGAUGAAAAUUCCAGCCCUGGAGAACCGCUGAACGGGAUUAGUAAUGAUUUCCUUGCCGAAUUAAACUCGGAUCAGGACUUGGAAGAGUUACACCGUGAAGCAUCGGAAAGCGGAUUAACAUUGUUAUCAAGCGAUGAAAAAUGGGCUCAAUUCUUUAUAAAUAAAUCCAGGUCCUAUCCUUUGCUGUUGAAUAAAUUGAAAAAUAUUACCAAAACAUUGAGCUCGGACCCUUUCUUCUUGAACUUAACGGACCUUUAUUUCAGGGGAUCAACUCACAUGAACCUCAAGAUUUUUCUCAUUAACUUUGAGCUAUAUUUACAUUUAGAAAUGUGCUCCAAUCCAACCAUUAAGCGGAAAUUGAUGAAAAUUUUUAACGCAGCGAUUCUGUCUGAUCCCGAGAUGGAAAUGGUGCGGAAGCAUGCCGUGGAUGUAGGCUUAAGCAAAAACUCUGGUACGGAUGAAUGGAAAAAAUUUUAUUUCGACUCAAUUCGAACCAAUAUUCCCGUGGCACUGAAAGUGGAGAACUUUUUGUACAAUUCGUUUCGUUCUUUAUUCUCCAUGGUCAUUGUAUCUGCCACCAUUGAUGAUCUCGAGGCAAACGGAGCUUGCCAGCCGACUAUCUUUAUCGGAUCUUUCAUUGGUGCAAUUCUGGUACAGUAUUAUAUUGUUACAAGAUUUAGCUGUUUCUUGUGACUACGCAUACAUGUUAAAUUUAAUUUUCUUUUUGUAAAAGUUACGGUCCAUAUAAUCUCAGUUUUCGAGUAACCUUUGAAGGGCCUUAAUACAUGGAGCUGAACUCUAUACUGUAUAUAUUUUUAAUUAAUAAUAAUUCGAAUUAAUUAAGAGAUAAUAUUUGUAAUUGGAUAGCGCGAUUCUAUGUAUCACUAAUCGUAAGCCAAUUUAUUUGUGUAUCUGCCAAUAGUUUUAAUAAAUUAUUUAAUCAUAACUUGA